UUUAUGUCCCUUGACAUAUUGCGUUCAUACACCAUGUAUUUUGCUUAUUAACCAACAUGACCCCAAUGUAUAAACAAGAGCAGAUAACUGUAUCAAGCAUUUUGUAACAAUUAUGGCCUUUUUAACCAGGUUUUCCGAAGGAAAAAACUGGUUAUUAGAUUGGCGAAUGCGGGCGGGCUGGCUGGCGGGCUGGCGGAAUAAGCUUGUCCGGGCCAUAACUAUGUCGUUCAUUGUCAGAUUUUAAAAUCAUUUGGCACAUUUGUUCACCAUCAUUGGACGGUGUGUCGCGCGAAAUAAUUACGUCGAUAUCUCCAAGGUCAAGGUCACACUUUGAGUUCAAAGGUCAAAAAUGGCCAUAAAUGAGCUUGUCCUGGCCAUAACUAUGUCAUUCAUUGUGAGAUUUUAAAAUCAUUUGGCACAUUUGUUCACCAUCAUGGGACGGUGUGUCCCACGAAAGAAUCACGUCAAUAUCUCCAAUGUCAAGGCCGCCACGACUAAAAAUAGAUUAAAAAAAAAAAAAAAACUUUCAAAGGGGGUUAAUUUUUUUU